rnacentral:rRNA from 1 species
ACUUUCAACAAUGGAUCUCUUGGCUCUGGCAUCGAUGAAGAACGCAGCGAAAUGCGAUAAGUAAUGUGAAUUGCAGAAUUCAGUGAAUCAUCGAAUCUUUGAACGCACAUUGCGCCCGCCAGUAUUCUGGCGGGCAUGCCUGUUCGAGCGUCAUUACA